ensembl:lncRNA novel transcript
ACAGUAUAGGCUAGGCUUUUUUUCUAUGUAUUUUAUAUGUGUCUAUUCAUUUAAUGCCCUUGAUAAUCCACUGAAAGAGGUGUCAUUAUUAUCAUCCCAUUUUACAGAAGAAGAAACUGAAACAAGAAGAUGAGCAUCUCAGCAUCUCAGAGGUGAAGAAACUGGCCUAGCCACCACGUGGUGGCACUUGCAGCCUGAGUCAGCAGAUCCCCAGGCAAAUGAAGACUCUGAGAUGAAGACAGCUGAGCGCAUGAUGGGGUAGGUCAGCCUCCCUCAUGGAAAUUCUGUGUGCCUGAGGCCCACCCUUCCAGUGCAGAUGGAGGGAUGGGAUGGAAAUGAAUCUAGGGGAACGCAUCCCAGCUGUGAUCCAGCCACCUCUGCGUUUGAAGGCUGGGGGUUAUUCCCUCCUCAUGGUUGCCACGCAUUCUUAUGUUUGCAUGUCAUGCUUGGAACUGCCGCAGCCACUUUGUGACAGCCUGAGAAUGAAUCCAGCGCUAAAAUCAGUCUAGCAAAAGGAGGAGAAACACCUGGGUCUCCAUGAUGUCACUGAGCAAGUGAAUUGACCAGCUGUGAGACGUUUCAUCUUGGAAAGUGCUACACAGACGAGAUGAUAAUGUCUCUGAGUCCUCGGGCUGACAGUGAGAAAUGGAAGAAAAAUGACCACUGAUCCCCCGAGAGCUGGUAGAGAUGAGGAUGCAAUGACAGGCCUUCCCUGGAAAUCUGUCUUCAGAGGAGUAUGUUGUAAGUGACAACGAGGAAGAAAUCUUUCUGCAACAAGAAGUAUCUAGAAAACAUCCCCAUGUCUAGCCAAAAUCUCUCCUUCCCUCUUUGGUAAAGACUACCUUAAAAGUGUAGUUUUCUGUUUACUCCUAAUUCUUGCUUCCAGAUACAACUCUUUUGGGGGGGAUAAAGCAAUGACCCAUUUAUUAAACGUUAACAAUUUAUAAACAGAA